rnacentral:rRNA from 1 species
UACGUAGGGUCCGAGCGUUAAUCGGAAUUACUGGGCGUAAAGCGUGCGCAGGCGGUUUUGUAAGCCAGAUGUGAAAUCCCCGGGCUCAACCUGGGAACUGCAUUUGGGACUGCAAGGCUGGAGUACGGCAGAGGGAGGUGGAAUUCCACGUGUAGCAGUGAAAUGCGUAGAGAUGUGGAGGAACACCGAUGGCGAAGGCAGCCUCCUGGGCUAGUACUGACGCUCAUGCACGAAAGCGUGGGGAGCAAACAGG